rnacentral:rRNA from 1 species
AGUGAACGCUGGCGGUAGGCCUAACACAUGCAAGUCGAACGGCAGCACAGUAAGAGCUUGCUCUUACGGGUGGCGAGUGGCGGACGGGUGAGGAAUAUAUCGGAAUCUACUUUUUCGUGGGGGAUAACGUAGGGAAACUUACGCUAAUACCGCAUACGACCUACGGGUGAAAGCAGGGGAUCUUCGGACCUUGCGCGAUUGAAUGAGCCGAUGUCGGAUUAGCUAGUUGGCGGGGUGAAGGCCCACCAAGGCGACGAUCCGUAGCUGGUCUGAGAGGAUGAUCAGCCACACUGGAACUGAGACACGGUCCAGACUCCUACGGGAGGCAGCAGUGGGGAAUAUUGGACAAUGGGAGCAAGCCUGAUCCAGCCAUACCGCGUGGGUGAAGAAGGCCUUCGGGUUGUAAAGCCCUUUUGUUGGGAAAGAAAAGCAGCAGGUUAAUACCCCGCUGUUCUGACGGUACCCAAAGAAUAAGCACCGGCUAACUUCGUG